UUCCGGUUGAUCCUGCCGGACCCGACUGCUAUCAGAAUAGGACUAAGCCAUGCGAGUCAACGUAGCAAUACGUGGCAUACGGUUCAGUAACACGUAGUCAACACGCCCAGGGGACGUGGAUAACCUCGGGAAACUGAGGAUAAACCGCGAUAGGUCAUAAUGUCUGGAAUGAUUUAUGGCUAAAAUCUAUAUGGCCUCUGGAUUGGACUGCGGCCGAUCAGGCUGUUGGUGAGGUAAUGGCCCACCAAACCUAAAACCGGUACGGGCUCUGAGAGGAGAAGCCCGGAGAUGGGCACUGAGACAAGGGCCCAGGCCCUAUGGGGCGCAGCAGGCGCGAAAAACUCUGCAAUAGGCGAAAGCUUGACAGGGNUAUUCUGAGUGAUUUCCGC
rnacentral:rRNA from 1 species